rnacentral:rRNA from 1 species
GACGAACGCUGGCGGCGUGCCUAAUACAUGCAAGUAGAACGCUGAAGCUUGGUGCUUGCUCCGAGCGGAUGAGUUGCGAACGGGUGAGUAACGCGUAGGUAACCUGCCUGGUAGCGGGGGAUAACUACUGGAAACGAUAGCUAAUACCGCAUAAGAGUAGAUGUUGCAUGACAUUUGAUUAAAAGGUGCAAUUGCAUCACUACAAGAUGGAACCGCGUUGUAUUAGCCAGUUGGUGAGGUAACGGGCCUCCAAGGCAACGAUACAUUACCGGCCUGAAGGGGGUGACGGCCAACCUUGGACUGGGGCACGGCCCAGACUCCUUCGGGGGGGAGCAGUAAGGGAACUUCGGGAAUGGACGGAAGUCUGACCGGGCAACGCCGCGUGAGGGAAGAAGGUUUUCGGGUCGUAAAGCUCUGUUGUUAGGGAAGGACGAGUGUUGGAGGUGAAAGUGCACACUGUGACGGUAUCUUACCAGAAAGGGACGGCUAACUACGUG